rnacentral:rRNA from 1 species
GAAAGGGGUCUUCGGACCCUGAGUAAAGCGGCGAACUGGUGAGUAACAGGUGGGUAACGUGCCUUGAUGUGGGGGACAACCCGAGGAAACUCGGGCUAAUACCGCAUGUGGCCCGGAGGACCAUGGUCUGAAGGGUUAAAGACUUCGGUCGCAUCAAGAUCGGCCCGCCCCCGAUUAGCUAGUUGGUGAGGUAAUGGCUCACCAAGGCUACGAUCGGUAGCUGGUCUGAGAGGAUGGUCAGCCACACUGGAACUGAGAUACGGUCCAGACUCCUACGGGGGGCAGCAGUCUAGAGGCUUCGUCAAUGGGGGCAACCCUGAACGAGCGACGCCGCGUGCGGGAUUGAAGGCCUUCGGGUCGUAAACCGCUGUCAAGUGGGAAGAAUGCCCUGAUGGUGAAUCGGGGAGAGACGGUACCACUGAAGGAAGCCCCGGCUAACUCCGUGCCAGCAGCCGCGGUAAUACGGAGGGGGCAAGCGUUGUUCGGAUUUACUGGGCGUAAAGGGUGCGUACGCGGCCGGGUAAGUCUGGCGUGAAAUCUUCACCGCUCAACGGGAAGAGGUCGCUGGAAACUGCUCGGCUUGAGUAUGGUAGAGGCAAGCGGAAUUCCUGGUGUAGCGGUGGAAUGUGUAGAUAUCAGGAAGAACACCUGUGGCGAAGGCGGCUUGCUGGGCCAUCACUGACGCUGAGGCACGAAAGCGUGGGGAGCGAACGGGAUUAGAUACCCCGGUAGUCCACGCGGUAAACGGUGCGCACUAGGGGUUGGGGGUAUCGACCCCCCCAGUCCCGCAGUUAACACACUAAGUGCGCCGCCUGGGGAGUACGACCGCAAGGUUGAAACUCAAAGGAAUUGACGGGGGCCCGCACAAGCGGUGGAGGAUGCUGUUUAAUUCGAAGCAACGCGAAGAACCUUACCUGGGCUUGAACUGUUGGGUAAACCUCUGGAAACAGGGGCUGUGGCAACACGACCCAGUAGAGGUGCUGCAUGGCUGUCGUCAGCUCGUGUCGUGAGAUGUUGGGUUAAGUCCCGCAAGGAGCGCAAACCUUGUCGUUAGUUACCAGCGAGUAAUGUCGGGGACUC